GAUGAAGAACGUAGCGAAAUGCGAUAAGUAAUGUGAAUUGCAGAAUUCAGUGAAUCAUCGAAUCUUUGAACGCACAUUGCGCCCCCUGGUAUUCCGGGGGGCAUGCCUGUUCGAGCGUCAUUUCACCACUCAAGCCUCGCUUGGUAUUGGGCAACGCGGUCCGCCGCGUGCCUCAAAUCGUCCGGCUGGGUCUUCUGUCCCCUAAGCGUUGUGGAAACUAUUCGCUAAAGGGUGUUCGGGAGGCUACGCCGUAAAACAACCCCAUUUCUAAGGUUGACCUCAGAUCAGGUAGGGAUACCCGCUGAACUUAAGCAUAUCAAUAAGCGGAGGA
rnacentral:misc_RNA from 1 species